CGGGGGGUGCAAGCGUUGUUCGGAUUUAUUGGGCGUAAAGCGCGUGUAGGCGGUUUGUUAAGUCUGAUGUGAAAGCCCUGGGCUCAACCCAGGAAGUGCAUUGGAUACUGGCAAACUUGAAUACGGGAGAGGGUAGUGGAAUUCCUGGUGUAGGAGUGAAAUCCGUAGAUAUCAGGAGGAACACCGGUGGCGAAGGCGGCUGCCUGGACCGAUAUUGACGCUGAGACGCGAAAGCGUGGGUAGCAAACAGGAUUAGAUACCCUGGUAGUCCACGCCGUAAACGAUGAGUACUAGGUGUUGCGGGUAUUGACCCCUGCAGUGCCGCAGCUAACGCAUUAAGUACUCCGCCUGGGAAGUACGGUCGCAAGACUA
rnacentral:rRNA from 1 species